GAUGAACGCUGGCGGCGUGCCUAAUACAUGCAAGUCGAGCGAACAGAUGGGGAGCUUGCUCCUCUGACGUUAGCGGCGGACGGGUGAGUAGCACGUGGAUAACCUACCUAUAAGACUGGGAUAACUUCGGGAAACCGGAGCUAAUACCGGAUAAUAUAUUGAACCGCAUGGUUCAAUAGUGAAAGACGGUUUUGCUGUCACUUAUAGAUGGAUCCGCGCCGCAUUAGCUAGUUGGUAAGGUAACGGCUUACCAAGGCAACGAUGCGUAGCCGACCUGAGAGGGUGAUAGGCCACACGGGAACUGAGACACGGUCCAGACUCCUACGGGAGGCAGCAGUAGGGAAUCUUCCGCAAUGGGCGAAAGCCUGACGGAGCAACGCCGCGUGAGUGAUGAAGGUCUUCGGAUCGUAAAACUCUGUUAUUAGGGAAGAACAAAUGUGUAAGUAACUAUGCACGUCUUGACGGUACCUAAUCAGAAAGCCACGGCUAACUACGUG
rnacentral:rRNA from 1 species